AAAAAAUUUAAACAGUUCAAGAGCUCAAAGCAUGCGAAAUCGAAUUGACAGCUAGUAUGCCAUAAAUUGUUCACUGUCGAGAUGCCCCGUAAGAAUAAAUACAGAAUGUGCGCCAAUUCACAAUACUCAUGCACAAUAGUCAUUCUCAAUAAAUUGAACGAGUCAGCCGUUCAUGUGACACUAGAUUCUGAAUUUUUUCUUGCCCUUGCAUAUUUCGGUAUAGGAUUUUCGCAUUUUGUAUCAUCGGUAAUCUUGAAUGAGCAAGAGAAUCCCCCUAUUGUAAAUGACUAUUUUGCAUAACCCCUGCAAGACGGAGGUAACAGAUUGCGCAAACACAUUGAAACAUUUUCAGCUGUUCACUAACACUGUUAGAUUUUCUGGAAUUUUCAAUUGAAUGGGAGAAUACGAGAGACGAAUGCCCAAUUUUUCAAGAAGAAGAAAACGAAAAGCGCACUUUAUUUUGGAUUUUAAAGAGAGUAAACGAAAAAGAUUAACAACGAGGAAAAGAAAUCAUUUGGAGCAUUUGGAUGCCUAUAACAAAGACGCAUCAUUCAAUUAGCCGCAUCACCGAUGACUUGGAGGACGAGCAUUACGUGGA